rnacentral:rRNA from 1 species
GGGGAAUAUUGGACAAUGGGCGCAAGCCUGAUCCAGCCAUGCCGCGUGAGUGAUGACGGCCCUAGGGUUGUAAAGCUCUUUUACCCGGGAAGAUAAUGACGGUACCGGGAGAAUAAGCCCCGGCUAACUUCGUGCCAGCAGCCGCGGUAAUACGAAGGGGGCUAGCGUUGUUCGGAAUCACUGGGCGUAAAGCGCACGUAGGCGGAUCUUUAAGUCAGGGGUGAAAUCCCGGGGCUCAACCCCGGAACUGCCUUUGAUACUGGAGAUCUCGAGUUCGGGAGAGGUGAGUGGAACUGCGAGUGUAGAGGUGAAAUUCGUAGAUAUUCGCAAGAACACCAGUGGCGAAGGCGGCUCACUGGCCCGAUACUGACGCUGAGGUGCGAAAGCGUGGGGAGCAAAC